rnacentral:lncRNA from 1 species
GGAUGCAACUGGUGUCUGGAAAAACUCACAGCCCGGUGUGGGAUCCCAGUGCAAAGGGCUGAGGCUCUUAAGUUCUGGAAGUGGCCACAGUCCCUAAAACCGUCCCGACAGCCAUCCCGAACCAAGUCUGGGCUGGGGUCACCGCAGGAGCCCUUUCCUCCCGCAGCCCCGCCCGAGGGAGGCCUAAGGAAAGACCCGCGCCGGGCUCGGGACCCAGACCGCCCCCACCCCAACAACACCGCGGGGGCGGGGAAGGGGUGGGGGAGUCGCCGGAGCCCACGCCCACGCCCCGCCCCACUCCCCGGGGCUCUCGGAGGGAAACGGUCCCCGCGAGGAGACUGCGUGGAGGCCGCCGCCGCCGCCAACGCCGUGGGUCAGACACGGGCCGGGCCUUGGGGGAGGGGAUGGCCAAGGGGCCGAGCAGUGACUGACGGACAGCAGGGUACAGCGGAGGGGCGGGAGGGCGAGGAGGGAGCACGUGCACAUCCCCGAGCCAGGACCCUCCGGAGGCGGACCGGGUCCGUCACAUACUCACUGCCGCAGCUGCGACCAGGAAGCACCAACCAGGAACCGAAACGCCUAGAGGAACGGGGAGGGCGGGGACAAACUCGCAGGGGAGGAGCCUCACGCACGUAUUACGGCUCUGGACACGUACUUCCGGGGAAAAUCUUUCUGCGCACGCGUAGUUAUAGUUUCUUCGCCCCAGGGCCUAGGGGUUUCCGGAAACGCUGUUAGCGAGACAGUCUCAGGGCUCCCUGAGCCGGAGGAGUAAGCAGCCGUCAUUGUUGCGUGUGGCAACUGGGACUUGAGCUUUUGAGGUUGAGAUUGAGGUUAGGAGCAGCGAGAGGACGGGAGAAGGGCCGAGACCUCCACCACCGACUACAAUUCCCAUAAUGCCUCGAAGUCAAGCCCUGAGUGACCAACCUCUCCCCGCUUUCUCUGGGAGUCUUGAAGGCUUCCUAACCGCGCGUGGUCUUAGACCUUGACUAAAAAGAAAAGAGGAGGUGAAAUCAGAAACAUUAGCUCUCCUCGUUAUUCUGUCAUCGUCCAGUGGGCCAUUUAUAGGAAUUUCCUCACAGUCAGACUUUGGAGGGGGUUUCUUUGGCUUUUAAGAUCUCUUCUUAGCAAGGGCGCCUUUGGAUAUUUGGGUCCUUUUGAAGUUCUACUUAAGUAGUAGAGGUAUCCUACAUAUAUUUAUUAAUAUUGAACCUUAAAAGUUUAAUAAUGUAAGUCUUAAAUAUUAACUAAACCAUAAGUAUUAAACCAUAAAGUGCUAACUAAAUUUGAGUUCUUGGAAAUUGUUUACUUGCCCAGGACCAGAAGUGAUUUCAGACUAUUUAAUGCAAUUAAUUAAUAAACAUUUAGUAAGUACCUAUUAUAUACCA